GAAAGGGAAACUGUGAGAAUGUGUGAGUUGAAGCGAUAGGGAAAGGGAAACUGUGAGAAUGUGUGAGUUGAAGCGAUGGGGAAAGGGAAACUGUGAGAAUGUGUGAGUUGAAGCGAUGGGGAAAUGCAUUGUGAGAGUUGUCAGCUGGAUUCUGAUAUUCUGAUAUUCAGAUGAUAUAAGACGUGUGACCUUUUUUGUCCUCAACAUUAAUAAUAAUUUAAUAAUAAACUCUAAUAAUUCAUUUAUUUAAAAUAUAAUAAUAAUAAACUCUUAAUAAUUUAUGAGUGUUUAAAGACCAUAAUCAUGGUAACAAGUUGUUUUUCUCUUUUUCCACACAUACUGUCAAUACCAACGUAUAUGUACAGUCAACUGGUGCAUGCUGGAAUGAAUUGUAUGUACCGGGUAUCAAAUCAAUAUGGAACUUGGAGUUUGUUAGGAUGAGGUGCCACUGAGACAAUGUUAUUGGAUGAGUUUGUCCCCUCUGAGCUCGACCAAUGGCUACUAACAGUCACCUUGGUCCAUGAUCUUGGUGUCAGGAACUUCUUCUCAACCGCAUUAAAUACCAGUUGUGUACUGGAGUAACUCUUCAACGUUUAUCUACAUACACUGAGUGUACCAAACAUUAGGAACACCUUUCCUAAUAUUUUGUUUCAUCCUCUUUUGCCCUUAGAACAGCCUCAAUUUUGUCGGAGGCAUGGAGUCAACAAUGUGUGGAAAGCGUUCCACAGGGAUGCUGGCCCAUGUUGAUGCCAGUGCCACCGGUGUGCCUGGCACCUACUACCGUACCCCGUUCAAAGGCACUGAAAUAUUUUGUCUUGCCCCAUUCAACCACUGAAUGGCAAAGAUACACAAUGUAUCUCUCAAGACUUAACAAUCCUUCUUUAACCGGUUUCCUCCCCUUUCAUCUACAGUGGAUUUAACAAGUGACACGAAUAAGGAAUCAUAGCUUUCACCUGGUCAGCAUGUCAUGGAACGAGCAGGUGUUCCUAAUGUUUUGUACACUCCGUGUAUUUUUAUUAUAUUUAAGGAUAUGUAUAAUUUAUUUGGUAAAAGAGGUAUAAUUUAUUUGGUAAAAGAGGUAUUCAUGAUGUAUCUUUUUAGUAGAUUUAUGAGGAAAAGUUUUCAUGAUUACAAGUAACAUGUAUAUUAUGCCUGCCUUUUCUCUGAGCAGUUUAGUUUAAUGUGCACAUACACACAUUAAAGAUUUAUUUCUUGUAAUUACUUAAGAUUAUUACUUAUGGAAAGGUGUGUCAUACUACAUUUGCAUUUUACUGACUGAAUGACUUUUUAAAAAACAAAGUAGAUUUGACAAAUGUUUUUGCGUGAGGACACUUAAUAAGAAAUACUAGCAUUGUCCUCACAUCCAAAAUGAAAAGUUUACUUUUGAAAAAGACUGUUGAUUUAUUGAUUUAAUGUGUACUUUUUUUGAUUGUACUUUUAUUUUCUAUGAUGAACACAAAGAAGCAUAUUUUUAAUCGUCUGUGAAAUUAAAGAGGAUACCCCAGUCA